AACGAACGCUGGCGGCAUGCCUAACACAUGCAAGUCGAACGAACCCUUCGGGGUUAGUGGCGCACGGGUGCGUAACGCGUGGGAACCUGCCUUUAGGUUCGGAAUAACUCAGAGAAAUUUGAGCUAAUACCGGAUGAUGUCUUCGGACCAAAGAUUUAUCGCCUUUAGAUGGGCCCGCGUUAGAUUAGAUAGUUGGUGGGGUAAUGGCCUACCAAGUCGACGAUCUAUAGCUGGUCUGAGAGGAUGAUCAGCCACACUGGGACUGAGACACGGCCCAGACUCCUACGGGAGGCAGCAGUGGGGAAUAUUGGACAAUGGGCGAAAGCCUGAUCCAGCAAUGCCGCGUGAGUGAUGAAGGCCUUAGGGUUGUAAAGCUCUUUUACCAGGGAUG
rnacentral:rRNA from 1 species